GACGAACCGUACGAACGUUAUUCGGAAUCACUGGGCUUAAAGGGUGCGUAGGCGGCGCGACAAGUUGGGUGUGAAAUCCCUCGGCUCAACCGAGGAACUGCGCCCAAAACUGUCGUGCUCGAGGGAGACGGAGGUGAGCGGAACUUAGGGUGGAGCGGUGAAAUGCGUAGAUAUUGGGAGGAACACCAGUGGCGAAGGCGGCUCACUGGACCGGUUCUGACGCUGAAGCGCGAAAGCGUGGGGAGCAAACGGG
rnacentral:rRNA from 1 species